UAAUCAAAAAUAUUUCCUACCCAAAUUAUGUGGUCGUCUAUUUAUAUUCCUUACUUAUCAAACUAGUUUUACACAAACCUUUAUUUUACAGCUUAAAAGAAACCACAACAACCCAAACAAUCAAAACACCAAAAACUAGAAUUCCAAAAAAGACGAAUCAUUAAUGAUCACCUCUCUUUUUUGUCUAAUCUAAGAAAUAAACUUCAAAACAAAUAUACCAAACCAAUCACCUCAACUAAAACCCAACGACAAAUACAUCGAGUCAGCUAAACAAAUACAAACUACACGGCCAGCUAUUUAACAAUUUACAAACUUACUUUCGUAACGACACACACAUUGAUUUAGCUAAACAAAUACAAACUACACGGCCAGCUAUUUAACAAUUUACAAACUUACUUUCGCAACGAAGAAGAUGAAGACGACAACCAAAGUGAAAUUACCUAAACAUAAAAAACAUAGUAAGUUAUGAACUCUGAUAAAUACAACUAACAAUGAUUUUUGUUUACAUAUUACCCAUCACAUAAAAGAUAAACAAACACAACCACAAUAGGAGAUACAAAAGACAAUCCCGACAGACACAAAGGCGGCAACAACAUCUCCACCUGCUCACUCCUCUUGUCUUAUAAAAAUAGCUUACAUGCCCAAUGUCAACAUGCCAAUGCUAUUGUCUUCUUAAGAGAAAUACAUAAAUUCGUUUAAAACUCAUUAAAGCCCAAAUACUCAGAACUGUCACUCAUUUUAUAGUUAUUUCUUCAAGUUUUCAUGUAUUUGUUUUAAAGGUCCGGUAAGAGCAACACGUUUAAAAAUAAAAUAAAAACAUAUAACAAACAUAAUAAGGAUAAUAAUUUUUUUUACUUAAUACAUACAAUUUACACAACUAAACUGGAGAAAAAAUAUCCAGAAACAAAAUGUACUCUUGACAACUUUAAUAUAAUUUAUGUACUCUCAACAGUACAAGAAACAAAUUAAAAAGACAAACAAACAAUAAGUCUCAGUGACACAUCAAACAACAACACGAACUAUAU
rnacentral:lncRNA from 1 species